rnacentral:other from 1 species
AUGUGAUUUUUUUGCAAGCAUCGAAGCAAUAUGAUUGUUUAAUUUUUUUGGGAGGUUGUUCACAUGACACAAGGUACAGUAAAAUGGUUUAACGCAGAAAAAGGUUUUGGUUUUAUCGAAGUAGAAGGUGGAAAUGAUGUAUUCGUACACUUCUCUGCUAUUCAAACAGAUGGCUUUAAAACUUUAGAUGAAGGCCAAAAAGUAGAAUUUGGCGUUGAAGAAGGUAACCGCGGACCACAAGCAACUAAUGUUGUAAAGCUUUAAUUUUUAGCUUUAGAAUAAACAGUGCAAAAUUCAAGAGACAUCCAAAUUUAUGGAUGUCUCUUUUU